AAGGCAACGCCUCCAUAACCAUCAGAAAUACGACGUGGGCUGACAGUGGAGAAUACAGAUGUAUUUAUCUAGAUCUUCAGAAACAUAAAAAAUUCUACAUUAAGCUUGUUGUUGAGCCAAAACUCAUCACAGUGGAAGAAGGCAGUGAUGUUACUUUACCCUGUUACCUCUGGACCAAGGAGGACCUUCAGUUAACACAGUUUAUCUGGAAGAAAGUUUCCCAGAAAACUGAUGAUCAGAAGGUGUUCCUGUAUGAUAAUGGUGAUCUUUACAGUGAUGAGCGUCCAGGUCAGAGUGAGCAGUUCAAAGGUCGAGUCUCACAUUUUCCAGAUGAACUGGAACAAGGCAACGCCUCCAUAACCAUCAGAAAUAUGACGAGGGCUGACAGUGGAGACUACAGAUGUCAUUUUCCAUCAAUUCAGAAACCUCAAAUAUUCCACAUUAAGCUUGUUGUUGUUGGUGAGUACUUUGAUGAAAGAGUUAAAGAUGUCCUCUCAUUUAAGGACUGGAGCCUGGUCUCCACCUUGUUAUCUAGCUGCUGCAUCUGAACAAACAUGAUGAAAACUUUGAACUCAUCGAUGGUGUCAGUUUCACAUUUCUUAAUGAAAUAUCAGCAGUCUGUAGUAGAUUAAAUCUGGGUGUGCACACUGCCUGUUUUUGUUUUCAAAAAUAACAAGCCAAAAAGUUAACUUUAAUGCAUAGUUGUUUGUUUUUUUUAUUCAAUGGGAAAGCUGAGAUAUGAAAGGGGGGAGAGAGGGGGGAAGACAAGGAGGAA